UGCCUCCCCAAAGCCCAUUGUCCAAUCAAAAUGGAAUACCAUACUCCUUACACUUCCAAGAAAUAUUACCCCAACACUCAACCAUCCCUUUCACACACUCAUUUCUCCUCUUCCUAACACACACUCUUCCAUCUUUUCUCUCCCCAAAUGAUUGUUUAGCCAAUGGUGGAUUCCUUUUUCUCUUCCAUUUACGGCUCCAACAAAAAGGCAUGAAACAAGAAUAAAAAUCAUAUUUAAAACAUAACAACAAUAAGGGUUUAUAUAGGAUUGAACAAGGGUUGAUUCAAGAUAGGUUUAAAAGUUAUUUCAAGCAAGGAUUAAGGGUUAUUAGGAGCUCUUAAGCCACGAAAUUUUCUUCCAUUUUCUCAUCACGAAACCAAGUUCAUCAAGGGUCUAGAGCAGUAAGUUAGCGUUAUGGACCGCCUCAUGGAUUGUAUUUGCUCGUUGCUUGAUAGUCUUGUACUGCAAACAAUUUGAUCUUUUGAUUAUGACUUUGGUUAUGUAAUGUUUAUUAAAUGUCAACUUGAACUUGCUAUCUUUUGAAUUUAAGUGACAUUUGAAACUUUAUGUUGAUGUUUUAUCUUAAAA